CGGAUAGAGGCCCGCUGGAUGGGGUGUUUAGCUGUUAACUAAAGUUUUACGGGAUCGAGGCCCGUCUAUCUAG
rnacentral:tRNA from 1 species